rnacentral:rRNA from 1 species
GCAUGCUUUGCACAUGCAAGUCGAACGACAGCGCGGGGUAGCCUGGCGGCGAGUGGCGAACGGGUGAGUAAUAGCAUCGGAACGUACCCAGAAGUGGGGGAUAACGUAGCGAAAGUUACGCUAAUACCGCUUCCGUUCUUCGGAAGAAAGUGGGGGACCUUCGGGCCUCAUGCUUUUGGAGCGGCCGAUGUCUGAUUAGCUAGUUGGUGAGGUAUUUUCUCUCCCAGGCGGGGAAAAAAAGCUGGUGUGAGAGGACGACCAGCCACGCUGGGACUGAUACUCGGCCCAGGGAAAUACGGGAGGCAGC